rnacentral:SRP_RNA from 1 species
GCUGGCCAUGGUGACUCACGCCUGUAAUCCCAGCACUUUGGGAGGCCGAGGUGGGCAGACUGCCUGAGGUCAGGAGUUUGAGACCAGUCUGGCCAACAUGGUGAAACCCCGUCUCUACUAAAAAAAAAAAAAAAAAAAAAAAAAAAAAUUAGCCGGGCGUGGUGUCGGGCACCUGNNNNNNNNNNCAGGUGCCCGACACCACGCCCGGCUAAUUUUUUUUUUUUUUUUUUUUUUUUUUUUUAGUAGAGACGGGGUUUCACCAUGUUGGCCAGACUGGUCUCAAACUCCUGACCUCAGGCAGUCUGCCCACCUCGG